rnacentral:lncRNA from 1 species
GUAUCCCCUCUCGCAGCAACAGGUCACACCACACGCCUUUUCGAAGGAAGUGGGUAAACAGCACUAAGACUACGUGGGUUUUUUUUUCUUUAAACUUAAUAUUGAUUUACUUUUUGGUGCAGGGUACUUAAAUGAGGAUGGGACGCGGGAAGCAGCUAAGGUGCGGGGGUGGGGCAGGGCACAGUGGGUGGCUCAGGGCGGCUGUCCAACUCGUAUUUCUGGAAACAGCCAGUGCAGGAGUUGGUGUGUCAUUGUUCUCCCGCUCAUCCACAGCACUCCCCCCCAACUCCAGCCCCUCUGGUGCCGCUCCCGUACUGCGCUCUUCCGCUCUCCUCUCUUACCUUACAGGUGCCAACACUCUCUCACGCCCUUCUCACAGUCCCGACUAGAAGUUAGGAGACCCAAACCUCUGUCCUCAAAACCUUCCUUGCUUCCACGUAACUUGCUCUGUUCUUAAAAAUAAAUCCUGCUCGGACCAUAAGGCAGACUCUAGAGCUGAGAACCAGCAGGCCUUGGUGUAAUAUUAAGGUAAACACGGACCUGGAGAUUAGGAAAGAGAAAAGGUUGAGAAGAUCUGGGGAAGAGAAGGCGGCCACCGGCUUUUCAGCGCGGCUGGUUUCAGGGAUGUGGCUGGUGCGCCCCCUGCUGCACCUUGCCUUUAAUUUCCAGAAGUGGUAUUACACUUAACAAAUGAACAAGGGAUAACAAUUGCUGUUUCAGUCCAGACCCAAUUUCACCAAAUAAUUUCACUCAAGAGCUAUUAUUGACAAGCACCGUGGGCUCAAUGGUGUCAAGUUGUACUUGUGGUUUCAACACCCCGCAGCAACCCACGUAGCCGCUGGGCCCUGGAUUAGGACCCCCAGUCUGGCAGUGCUUAUCUGCCCGUCUGAGUGAUGGAGAGAUGAGUAUCAGUCUAUACCUCAACUGCUUCAAGCCCGCCUGGGCUUUCUCCCUGGCGCCUUUGUCUGUGUCAGGGUUGGAGCAACGAAACUGAAAGAUCUCCAGAGUUUGAAAACAGAGUGAAAGAGCAAAUUUAAUAAAUGAGAGCUCAGCCUUGAAUCUUAGUCUUUAUUAAUAGAGUCAUGUCCCUCACACCCAAAUAACUAUCAAACUUCAAACCACAUGUACUGUUUUUCAGAGUUCGGGUUCUUUCCUGGGUUCAUCAUGAAAGGUGUGAGGGAUGAAGGGGAAAAGGGUCUGAGGAGUUGGCAGG